rnacentral:rRNA from 1 species
GAUGAACGCUGGCGGCGUGCCUAAUACAUGCAAGUCGAGCGAAUGGAUUAAGAGCUUGCUCUUAUGAAGUUAGCGGCGGACGGGUGAGUAACACGUGGGUAACCUGCCCAUAAGACUGGGAUAACUCCGGGAAACCGGGGCUAAUACCGGAUAACAUUUUGAACCGCAUGGUUCGAAAUUGAAAGGCGGCUUCGGCUGUCACUUAUGGAUGGACCCGCGUCGCAUUAGCUAGUUGGUGAGGUAACGGCUCACCAAGGCAACGAUGCGUAGCCGACCUGAGAGGGUGAUAAGCCACACUGGGACUGAGACACGGCCCAGACUCCUACGGGAGGCAGCAGUAGGGAAUCUUCCGCAAUGGACGAAAGUCUGACGGAGCAACGCCGCGUGAGUGAUGAAGGCUUUCGGGUCGUAAAACUCUGUUGUUAGGGAAGAACAAGUGCUAGUUGAAUAAGCUGGCACCUUGACGGUACCUAACCAGAAAGCCACGGCUAACUACGUGCCAGCCGCCGCCGUAA